rnacentral:rRNA from 1 species
GAUGAACGCUGGCGGCAUGCCUAAUACAUGCAAGUCGAACGAAUAUGUAGCAAUACAUGUUGGUGGCGAACGGGUGAGUAACGCGUUGGUGACCUGCCCCGAAGUGUGGGAUAACAGUUCGAAAGAAAUGCUAAUACCGCAUGUGGUCCCCGGGUUUAGAAACCGGUGACUAAAGGGGUAAUUCGCUUCGGGAUGGACCUGCGUCCCAGCAGCUAGUUGGUAGGGUACCGGCCUACCAAGGCAUUGACGGGUAAGGGACCUGAGAGGGUGGCCCCUAACAAUGGCACUGAAACACGGGCCGUACACCUACGGGUGGCAGGAGUAGUGAAUGUUGGGCAAUGGGCGAAAGCCUGACCCAGCAACGCCGCGUGUGUGACGAAGGUCUUCGGAUCGUAAAACACUUUUCUGGGAGAUGAGAAAGGACAGUAUCCCAGGAAUAAGCCUCGGCUAACUACGUGCCAGCAGCCGCGGUAA